rnacentral:rRNA from 1 species
AGUGAACGCUGGCGGUAGGCCUAACACAUGCAAGUCGAACGGCAGCACAGUAAGAGCUUGCUCUUACGGGUGGCGAGUGGCGGACGGGUGAGGAAUACAUCGGAAUCUACUUUUUCGUGGGGGAUAACGUAGGGAAACUUACGCUAAUACCGCAUACGACCUACGGGUGAAAGCAGGGGAUCUUCGGACCUUGCGCGAUUGAAUGAGCCGAUGUCGGAUUAGCUAGUUGGCGGGGUAAAGGCCCACCAAGGCGACGAUCCGUAGCUGGUCUGAGAGGAUGAUAGGCGACACUGGAAGUGAGCCACGGUCCAGACUCCUACGGGAGGCAGCAGUGGGGAAUAUUGGACAAAGGGCGCAAGCCUGAUCCAGCCAUACCGCGUGGGUGAAGAAGGCCUUCGGGUUGUAAAGCCCUUUUGUUGGGAAAGAAAAGCAGCAGGUUAAUACCCCGCUGUUCUGACGGUACCCAAAGAAUAAGCACCGGCUAACUUCGUG